rnacentral:lncRNA from 1 species
UUUUUUUUAUUUUUUAUUUUUUUGAGACAGAGUCUGGCUCUGUUACCCAGGCUGGAGUGCAGUGGCGCAAUCAUACCUCAUUGCAGCCUCAAACUCCUAGGCUCCACUGAUCCUUCUGCCUCAGCCUCUGGAGUCCCUAGGACUACAGGCAUGCACCACCACACCUGGCUAACAAUUUGAUUUUUUUUUGUAGAGACGGGGUCUCACUGUGUUGCCUAGACUAGUUUCCAACUCCUGGGCUCAAGAGAUCCUCGCACCCGGGGCUCUCAAAGCAUGGGGAUUAUAGGUGUGAGCCAGCGUGCCCAGUAAGAACUUUCUUCAAAGUGAGAUAAAAAGUUGUGAAAAGAUCCCCACUGUGGUCAUUAUCAUCUUAGAUUCAUGGAUGCUAGACCCAGGAUGAAGCUGAUGCUUCCAUAUUUCCAGAAGUCCCAUAGAUACCCAGAUGUCGAUUCAAUCAUUUGUUAUAAAAAUGAAUGAUCUCUUGAAGGAAUAAAAUUGAAAAGAAGUUUCAUGGUAGGAAGGAAAUAAGUGCUAGAGGAAUACUGGAAGAUAAGACCCCUAAAUUCAAAGCUACAUUUUGGCUGAUGCUAAGGAUGAUUCAAGUGGCUCUUUGAACUCUCCUUGGAUAAGCCUUAGUCUAGUGGGUCUCUACACAAAUCACAACGAUGCCAACAUUCACAAAAUAGACAUGGGGACAUGGGGCACAUGCAUUUUUUCCAGCUAUCCUUCUACCCCUGUCACUCAAGAAGUGUCUUAAUUCAAAUAGGGAGAAAGACAUAUUGAAUUACCUUCACUUCACUCUAGCUCUCCACUCUAAUUUAUGAAAGUUAUAAGUCCCUCUAAAGUCCUUUGUUUUAACUAUGAUUAGUGAUGUAUCCUUUGUGUCCUACAGAUUAUAACAGUGGUCUUGGCAAACUCUCUGGGUCACCCAGUAAAUAAUUGUUUGCUUCAGAUACAGAGCUUUGGAUUAUCUCCAGUCAAGAGGAUUGUGUUUCACUAGAAAAUCUCUCCCAUAGUCCUUCAGCCUGGCUCUUUGAGUCUGUUUCUGCUGUUCAGCCAUUCUCUUACAGAAUAACAACUGACAUCAUCACUUAAAAAGGAUCCCAGUGGCCCAUGAGCUAGUCGGUGCCCUGAUUCCAUGUGAGGGAGGGAAGGUGACUGAUAUUUUCUGAACUAAGUUGUCUCAUGUUUUCACAACAACAUUUAAAGGUUCUAUUGCAAUUUUAUAGAUGAGUAAACUGAGGUACAGAGAGGGUAAGCCUGGUGUCUCUGACUGUGAAGCUCAUGCUCCUUUUGUGUCACUGUACCUCUCUUCUUCCAUCCAGACUCAACCUCCCAAGGUUUACCGUUCUUAGAACAGUGGAGAUCUUCAUUUCCCUUGGUAGAGACGUCACUAUUUUCACCUUGUGUUCAAAAUUACAUUCAUUCUUGUUGUUCAAGGAAAUAAAAGGUAAAAUGUAGGUUUUUAAAAGGCACGUAUGUGUGCAGGUGUGUGUAUUUUGAACAGAAAGCCAAGGCAGGCGUUCCCUUCCUCUGACCCUUGUGUGUGCGUGAAGACAGGCUCUUCUAAGUCAAAGGGUUGUGAGAGGUGAACAGCUUCCACCUCCAGUCUGAUGAGGCAGAGGAGCAAAAGUUUGCUGAUAAACUGGGUCAUUGAUUAAGCCAUGUGGCGAUCCCAGGAGCGGGGUGUGGCAGCCCUCCUGAAUAAAGAGGAAAAGGCUAGUACGAGUAUUACCAGGAGCUGGUUGGGCUGGGGAGACUGGUCAAGCCUUCUCACCAGAAGCAAGUGAUGAGGAGAUACAUUUUCUCCUUUGCAUUUUAACAAGCUGCCUUACUGUGGCUUUCUGUGCCUUAAGAGAGACCAACAUGUACUUACUAGGGACUUCACAAAGUUUAAAUGAAGAUACAGGCUCUCACAUCAAUCUAAGAAACAAAGUGAUAAAGCACAUAAUAAGACAAGUGUGAUAUGGUCAGAUUCUCAGCGGGCAC